rnacentral:rRNA from 1 species
GGUCAAGCUACAAAGAGCGCAAGGGGAAUGCCUUGGCACUGGGAGCCGAUGAAGGACGCGACUAACUGCGAUAAGCUAUGGGGAGCCGUAAGUGGGCAUUGAUCCAUAGAUUUCCGAAUGGAGCAAUCCGGCUGGAGUCAUGUCCAGUCAUCAUACACUGAAUUCAUAGGUGUAUGAGGGGAACCGCCUGAACUGAAACAUCUAAGUAGGGCGAGGAAAAGACAUCAAUUGAGAUUCCGCUAGUAGUGGCGAGCGAACGCGGAAGAGGCCAAACCGGGGGUAGCAAUACUCCCGGGGUUCGGACAGCAAUGUAGACGCUGGAAUUUAGCAGAAUGGCAUGGGAAGGCCAACAAGAUAGUGUGAGAGUCACGUAUGCGAAAAAGGAAAGCGCUUAGCUGUA